rnacentral:rRNA from 1 species
UACGUAGGGGGCAAGCGUUAUCCGGAUUUACUGGGUGUAAAGGGAGCGUAGACGGCCAGACAAGUCUGAAGUGAAAAUCCAGCGCUUAACGUUGGGAGUGCUUUGGAAACUGCCGGGCUAGAGUGCAGGAGGGGCAGGCGGAAUUCCUAGUGUAGCGGUGAAAUGCGUAGAUAUUAGGAGGAACACCAGUGGCGAAGGCGGCCUGCUGGACUGCAACUGACGUUGAGGCUCGAAGGCGUGGGGAGCAAACAGG